UCAAAUCAUCAUGCCCCUUAUGCUUAGGGCUACACACGUGCUACAAUGGGUAGUACAGAGGGUUGCCAAGCCGUAAGGUGGAGCUAAUCCCUUAAAGCUACUCUCAGUUCGGAUUGUAGGCUGAAACUCGCCUACAUGAAGCUGGAGUUACUAGUAAUCGCAGAUCAGAAUGCUGCGGUGAAUGCGUUCCCGGGUCUUGUACACACCGCCCGUCACACCACGGGAGUUGGAGACGCCCGAAGCCGAUUAUCUAACCUUUUGGAAGAAGUCGGCGAAGGUGGAAUCAAUAACUGGGGUGAAGUCGUA
rnacentral:rRNA from 1 species